UACGAAGGGGGCUAGCGUUGCUCGGAAUCACUGGGCGUAAAGGGUGCGUAGGCGGGUCUUUAAGUCAGGGGUGAAAUCCUGGAGCUCAACUCCAGAACUGCCUUUGAUACUGAAGAUCUUGAGUUCGGGAGAGGUGAGUGGAACUGCGAGUGUAGAGGUGAAAUUCGUAGAUAUUCGCAAGAACACCAGUGGCGAAGGCGGUUCUCUGGGCCUGUACUGACGCUGAGGAACGAAAGCGUGGGGAGCGAACAGG
rnacentral:rRNA from 1 species